rnacentral:misc_RNA from 1 species
GAUGAAGAACGCAGCGAAAUGCGAUAAGUAAUGUGAAUUGCAGAAUUCAGUGAAUCAUCGAAUCUUUGAACGCACAUUGCGCCCCCUGGUAUUCCGGGGGGCAUGCCUGUUCGAGCGUCAUUUCACCACUCAAGCCUCGCUUGGUAUUGGGCAACGCGGUCCGCCGCGUGCCUCAAAUCGACCGGCUGGGUCUUCUGUCCCCUAAGCGUUGUGGAAACUAUUCGCUAAAGGGUGUUCGGGAGGCUACGCCGUAAAACAACCCCAUUUCUAAGGUUGACCUCGGAUCAGGUAGGGAUACCCGCUGAACUUAAGCAUAUCAAUAAGGGAGGA